GACGUAGGGCGCGAGCGUUGUCCGGAUUUAUUGGGCGUAAAGAGCGCGUAGGCGGCUUGUCGCGUCGAUCGUGAAAACUUGGGGCUCAACCCCAAGCCUGCGGUCGAUACGGGCAGGCUAGAGUUCGGUAGGGGAGACUGGAAUUCCUGGUGUAGCGGUGAAAUGCGCAGAUAUCAGGAGGAACACCGGUGGCGAAGGCGGGUCUCUGGGCCGAUACUGACGCUGAGGAGCGAAAGCGUGGGGAGCGAACAGG
rnacentral:rRNA from 1 species